AACAAUAUUACUAGCUUGCUAGAAUAUCGACGAGCGGCGGACGGGUGAGUAAUGCUUGGGAACAUGCCUUUAGGUGGGGGACAACCAUUGGAAACGAUGGCUAAUACCGCAUAAUGUCUACGGACCAAAGGGGGCUUCGGCUCUCGCCUUUAGAUUGGCCCAAGUGGGAUUAGCUAGUUGGUGAGGUAAUGGCUCACCAAGGCGACGAUCCCUAGCUGGUUUGAGAGGAUGAUCAGCCACACUGGAACUGAGACACGGUCCAGACUCCUACGGGAGGCAGCAGUGGGGAAUAUUGCACAAUGGGCGCAAGCCUGAUGCCCA
rnacentral:rRNA from 2 species